AUUGUUUUAGAGACAGGUCUCACUCUGUCAACCAGGCUGGAGUGCAGUGGCGUCAUCUUGGCUCACUGUAACCCCCGCCUCCCGGGUUCAAGCGAUUUUCAUCCCUCAGCCUCCUGAGUAGCUGGGAUCACAGGCAUGUGCCAUCAUACCUGGCUAAUUUUUCUAUUUUUAGUAGAGACGGAAUUUCAUCACAUUGGCCAUGCUGGUCUCCAACUCCCAACCUUGGGUGAUCUGCCUGCCUCAGCCUCCCAAAGUGCUGGGAUUAUAGGCAUGAGCCACCGAUCCCAGAAUAUUUUUUAUUUGGAAUUUUGUUUAUGUACCUCUGGAAUUUUUAUUUGUUUAUGUACCUAACCCUACUGGAACAUAAGUUUGAUGGCAGCAGAAAUGUUGUUUUGCUCAUUGCUAUAGUUUCCAUGCUUAGAGAUGCUCUGGUAGACAGAAAGUAGGCAAAAUAUACUUGCCAAAUGAAUGAAAAUGCCAAUUUCAGCAUGUAGCAUAAAAAAGGUGCUCAUGCAAUGCUAGUUUUCAUUUUACCUCCCUUCCACUUUUUUUUUGUCAUGGCUGAGAAAUUGUUAAAUUCUGUUGAAACUGAAGCUCUGAUUUCUUUCUGCUGCCUCCUGACACUGCUGGUGCCCCAUAUGUGUGAACCGGGGUGUGAGGUGAUGCCAUCCAUUUGUAGUCUGGGACAGACGGAAACUGAGUUUGGAGCCAGAAUGGAAAGCUCUGGUAUCUGCCUAAUUCUACCUGAAUGGGACAUUAAUUUCAAUGCUUUGUUCUUCUAAAUGAUUUUGAAUGUUCAGAUCAUCAGAUGCCUCCAUAAUCAAAAGAAAUCCUUUCAAGAAUAAAAUGUAAAUGGUUCUCAGAAGAUCACCUGCUUGGCAUGAGCUGUCUUGCUCUCUACUGUUAUACAUUUUUCCAAGUUGGCUGCACAUGCAAACUUACAGAUAAGUAUAAAACAAAAUUAGCAGCUCUCUUCUCCCCUGGCUACACACCCUGCAUUACACAGAUAGCAAAACCCACUGGCAGAGUGUUCCUCAGAGCUGAUCCACAUGGAUGGUUUUUGCUCCUAAUAUGACAAUAUGCUGGGACCUGUGGAUAUCUGUCUGGUUUUUGGUGGCCUCAAGGAAGAGCACAGUUAGCCUGUGUUCAGAGAAAGCCAAAGGGCUGGAGAGUUAAUGUCCCCAAAGCAUCCCCCAAAGUCCUGACGGAAAAGAAAGAUCAUACGUCAGAAAACAGUAUUUACACCUGGUCUGAAAUACCAAUAUCUGCUAGACCUCAUCGUUCAGUUCAGAGAUUCCUGUCAGCAGACACAAUCUCCUUCUAUCUACUAGUUCCUGCACAAAAGGCUCCCAAGGCCUCCUUCUGAGGACCACUGACACUUAACUCCAAUGAAGAAUGAAGAAUUAGAGUCAAUUUAUUACCAGCAAGUUUGAAAACAUCCCAAAGAAGUCUCUCUAAUUAAGACAAAACAAUAAAACAAUAUCAAUAAAACUUGCACUUCA